CCAAAUCAAAAAGGCAAACGAUAAUAGAAUAAGAACGAGUACAACGACCACUAUUAGAAUUGGAGGAAGCAUCUUUUUUUGUUUGGUUUGUUUGUUGGUUGUUUGUUUUUCUUCUUCUUUGUUCUUGUUGGAG
rnacentral:ribozyme from 12 species